rnacentral:lncRNA from 1 species
AGUUGCUUUCUAUUCUUGAUUUUGUAUUCUUUGUAUUUGUAGGCAAAGAGUUGCUUCUGAGGCAAUGAAGGCCUUGGCUCCGUGUGGUCAGGGAGAUGUGUGGAGCUCAACAAUGGAAAAUUCCUCAGUUAAUAUCACCAAAUUUCAUUCCGGCAUAUGUAAUAUGGGACCAAUUAUGUACCCAUGUCUUCAGAUUGUUAUGAGGAUUUGAUGAGAUAAUCCAUGAGAAACCUUUAACACACUGCUUGGCAUGUAGAAAGGGCUCAGUAAAUGUUGCCUGUUAUUGUUAUUACUUCCACCAUCACGCUGCUCAUUGCUUUCCACUGGGAAAGGAAAAUAGACUCCUGGAUUCACUGUCCCUGCCCGUGAACAGAGGUGGUUUUGGAAGCCAUGGGAGCACCCAGUGACCUUCUCCUCAAACUCGGCUUCUCUGAAUUAGGUGAGCCCCUGAGCCGUUGUAGGGAGCCUUAUCUUACCUCCCACAUCCUGCUCUAAGGAGCCUUCAGGGAUUUUUAAAAUUUAAUUUUUUUAAAUUAAUUAAUUUAUUUAUUUAUUUUCGAGACAGAAUCUUACUCUGUCACCCAGGCUGGAGUGCUGUGGUGCAAUCUCGGCUCACUGCAACCUCCGCCUCCCAGGUUCAAGUGAUUCUCCUGCCUCAGUCUCCCUAGUAGCCAGGACUACAGGUGCACGCUACCACGCCUGGCUAAUUUUUUGUAUUUUUAGUAGAUACAUGUUAGCCAGGAUGGUCUGGGUCUCCUGACCUCGUAAUUUGCCCACCUUGGCCUCCCAAAGUGCUGGGAUUAUAGGCGUGAGCCACGGCACCCUGCACCUUCAGGGAUUUUGUAACUCUAAGUCUGGUGGUCAGUAGCUCUCUGUGCUCCUCUAUCCACCUCAGACCAGGCCAAGGUGAAUGCUCAUAUGUAGCACAUGGAAACCCAGGCGUGCUGGCUCAGCUUUGGAGCAGUGGAAGCAACUAGAAGCUACUGGAGGAAGCUGAUCAACCAUACAGCCUCCCAGGUCCUGGCAUCUGACCCAAGUAUCAGCCUACCAGUAUUGCCACCUGCUGACACAUUUACGUGGUAACAGAUUAUGAGAGGUUUGACAAAGAUCCUGAAUGUCUUAUCCACAAUGGUACAAACCACUUGGAGUGGAAGGAAACACUAUAUGGAAAUUGCCAUCUGCCCAAGCAGCCUGAUUAGAUGACAUCUGCAGACCUCCAUAGAACCAGCUGGUAAAAUCCA